rnacentral:rRNA from 1 species
UAGGGAAUCUUCCGCAAUGGACGCAAGUCUGACGGAGCAACGCCGCGUGAGUGAAGAAGGUUUUCGGAUCGUAAAACUCUGUUGUUAGAGAAGAACAAGUGCUAGAGUAACUGUUAGCGCCUUGACGGUAUCUAACCAGAAAGCCACGGCUAACUACGUGCCAGCAGCCGCGGUAAUACGUAGGUGGCAAGCGUUGUCCGGAUUUAUUGGGCGUAAAGCGAGCGCAGGCGGUUCCUUAAGUCUGAUGUGAAAGCCCCCGGCUCAACCGGGGAGGGUCAUUGGGAACUGGGGAACUUGAGUGCAGAAGAGGAGAGUGGAAUUCCAUGUGUAGCGGUGAAAUGCGUAGAUAUAUGGAGGAACACCAGUGGCGAAGGCGACUCUCUGGUCUGUAACUGACGCUGAGGCUCGAAAGCGUGGGUAGCAAACAGGAUUAGAUACCCUGGUGGUCCACGCCGUAAACGAUGAGUGCUAAGUGUUGGAGGGUUUCCGCCCUUCAGUGCUGCAGUUAACGCAUUAAGCACUCCGCCUGGGGAGUAACGACCGCAAGGUUG